rnacentral:rRNA from 1 species
GGAUGCGAUCAUAGCAGCACUAAAGCACCGGAUCCCAUCAGAACUCCGAAGUUAAGCGUGCUUGGGCGAGAGUAGUACUAGGAUAUGG